rnacentral:lncRNA from 1 species
UGGCAACGAAGUCAGUUUCUACCUUCGCCGUUUUUUUCAUCUUCUUUUUGGUUGUCUUUGGUAAUUUAACCAACUCCGUAUAUCUCACAUAUAUUUUAGUUUAAUUGGUAACAAUAUAUCUCACAUAUUUGUUAAAAAAAAUUGCGUUUUUGUUAGAAAUGGUUCACAGCAAGUUCCACUAUAUGUGAGAUGUAUAUGCUUAAUUCACUUCAUAUGUUUAAGUGCAGAAGUGCCAGAGAUAUACGCGCAAGAUAGCAAGUGUCUGAAAGAAUACGGCGGUAACGUGGGUUUCAGCUAUUGCGCACCUUUGAUAUUUCCAUCCUUCUGUUAUCGAAACUGUCGUAAGAACAAGGCCGCGAAGGGAGGAAGAUGUCGUUCAGGGGGUCCAGGAGCUGGUGGUAUGAAAUGUUUAUGCGACUACUGCAGCGACAAACCUUAAACCAGAUCGUUAUAGUACACGCUUUGGCCGCAAACGCAAAAGCAGCUACUCUAUAUUUUAAUCUUGCAUGUCCACUGCGUGUCCACUAUGUGUCAUGAUUUGUGUAAUACUAAAAGUUAAUGGUUGGUUGUCCACUGAGUAACAAUAUAUAGUAAUGGAUAAGUGAAAUGUAAAAUAAAUAAUCGUACGACUUUGUUUAAGUAAUUAUAAUAUGGCUAGAUGAUAAGUGCGGCUCGGCCUCCGGCUCCGUAAUUCUGAUUUGCCAAGACUCAUAAGUGGAUAAUUUUGGUUUCAUUCAGUUUCUUUUGGAUAAUUUUAGCAUGUAUACGGUUUUAAGAACAAAAGAAAUUGGACUGUUGUGGACUUCGGUAAGAUAUUUUGUUUUUCUCAUGCAUGCAAUUUGAAAGGAAUACAUGAAAAGAUAUGUGACGAUCAUUUACAUACAGCAGACCCGGUUGACCGGUUCUAAGCUAGUGUUGGAGGAGCUUGAAGAUAAAAGGCCCAUUAAAUUAUACGGCCCAGAUUGUAAAAAAGAGGAUACUUUAAAAUUUUGAAUUGAAGUAAAUACUAAAAUACACAUAUAUCAUAUAGCCCUGGGCAAAAAGCCCGUACCCGAAGCCCAAACCCGAACCCGGCCCGUUAGGCCCGUACCGAACCCGAACCCGACUAAAGAAAAUACCCGAACGGGUUUUGAUUUUAAAAAUUCCGGGUUCGGGUUCGGGUUCGGGUAAACCCGAAAAACCCGAUCAUACCCGAAACCCGAUUUUAAGUUUGUAAACCUGUACCCGAUUUUAAGUUUGUAAACCCGUACCCGAUUGUGAAGAUUGUGAAAAAUCGAUUUCAAAUGUGGGUGAAUAUUGUAAACCCGAUUGUGAAUAUUUUCAUUCCCAAAUUCUUCAGUUAACGAAAUCAUAGGAGUCGAUUUAGCUUCCAUAACCAAUUUUUUUUUCCCUUCAAAAGCUCUCAACAACACACAAACUGGAUUCACAACAUCCCAGAAAAGCUCCUCCUCCCUCUGAGGUUUCAAAGAAUUAUUCUGAGGUAAGUUUUCCAUCUAUGUCUCUCUCUCUCUCUCACGUACGUCUCUCUCUCUCUAUCCCUCUCUCUCUAACGCUAUGUGACUUGUGUGUUUGGAAUCGUGUGUUUGGCUUCUUAGUUUGAGAAUGGAAUAAUGGCAUCGUGUGUUUGAAAUAAUGGAAUCGUCUCUCUCUCUAACAUUUACGCAGUCUGAUAAUGGAGUAAUGUAAUCGUGUGUGUGUGUUUUACUAGUUUGAAGCUUGUGUUUUAUAGUUUUUAGAUUCUUUCAAUUUAGCUUUUAAAAAACGUUUUCUCAUACUUAGUUGCUUACUAUUAAACUAAUAUAUUCUUCGAUUGUUCAAACGUCAUCUAGUGUUAUUACUUAUUAGAGUAGUAGUUCAUUGCUCAAAAGGUUCUCAAUUACGUGAUUAUGUAGGCAAAUCAAUUAACAAUUAUUGGUUAAUACGGUUAUUUAGAACCCGAAAUAAAACCGAACCCGAACCCGAAAAACCCGACCCGAACCCGAACCCGUCCGAAAAUAUAUGUAUACCCGAAUGGGUUUUAAAAGUCCAAACCCGAAAACCCGAAAUCCCGAAAAGCCCGGCCCGAACCCGAACGGGCCCCCGAACGCCCAGGGCUAAUAUCAUAUAUGUAUGGUUGUGAACGACUUUAAAACAUAUUGCCUACAAGAUUUGAUUAUAUUCAAGAGGUUGUGGUCCAACAUAUUAGAUUUUUUUUGGUGAUGCCAGCUAACGACAUUUAUUCUCGUAAUAAAUGGUCAGUCUCAAGAACGAAAGAUAAAUAGCACCACAACCAGGGGUUGAGCAUCAUCAGAGCUACACAUACAUUAUCAACUCCAAAGUGAAAGAGAGAAUGGCCAUGGCAACGAAGUUAGUUUCUACUCUAGUCAUCUUUUUGGUCCUGGCUCUGGCCAUCAAUGGUAAACUAACAAACUCCAUAGUAUUCUCGCAUAUUUUGUUUAACUUUAUGAUUCAUGUAUAGGAUCCAUUGCAUUGUGUAUUUGUUGCAGACAAUCAGUCAUGCAUGCAUGCAUAUAUAUAUGUGUGACAUUUUAUUGGCUUAACUGUAUAUAUAUAUAUAUGUGCAGAAGUGCCGGGGACAGAAGCGCACAAUGACGAGUGUCUGAAAGAAUA